UGUCUGUAAAAAAGAAUGAUGAGUAUUAACUUUUUGUAAAAAAAUUUAUUUCAGUGAUAAUAUGCAGCAUGCAUACUGGGAACUGAAGAGAGAAAUGUCUAAUUUACAUCUGGUGACUCAAGUACAAGCUGAACUACUAAGGAAACUGAAAACCUCAACUGCAAUCAAGAAAGCCUGUGCCCCUGUAGGAUGCAGUGAAGACCUUGGAAGAGACAGCACAAAACUGCACUUGAUGAAUUUUACUGCAACAUACACAAGACAUCCCCCUCUCUUACCAAAUGGCAAAGCUCUUUGUCAUACCACAUCUUCCCCUUUACCAGGAGAUGUAAAGGUUUUAUCAGAGAAAGCAAUCCUCCAAUCAUGGACAGACAAUGAGAGAUCCAUUCCUAAUGAUGGUACAUGCUUUCAGGAACACAGUUCUUAUGGCAGAAAUUCUCUGGA
rnacentral:sRNA from 1 species